GACGAACGCUGGCGGCGUGCUUAACACAUGCAAGUCGAACGAGAAAAGCACCUUCGGGUGUGAGUACAGUGGCGAACGGGUGAGUAACACGUGGGCAACCUGCCCUGGAGACUGGGAUAACGUUCCGAAAGGGACGCUAAUACCGGAUGACGCGCGAUCUGCCAAGUAGGUCGCGCCAAAUGGUAGCUUCGGCUUCUACUCUGGGAUGGGCCCGCGCCGGAUUAGCUUGUUGGUGAGGUAACGGCUCACCAAGGCGACGAUCCGUAGCUGGUCUGAGAGGACGAACGGUCACACUGGAACUGAGACACGGUCCAGACUCCUACGGGAGGCAG
rnacentral:rRNA from 1 species